AAAUAAAUUAUGCUCAUUCAUUAUUGUUUAUGAUUUGAAUUUUGCUUGACUACAUUGAAUGCAUACCUUGGUUAGCAUUUUAGAACAGCGUUGCAGAAGCUGUCCUAGACUGUAUAGAACAAUGAAAACGCUUUAAUGUAGAUUGCGGAUGCUCCAUGCUUCCGACUUUCUUUAAAAUACAAGUAAUUGCCUAGUUAUUUUGGGGAAACACUUCUCUAUCGAAAUCAGAAACUUCAAGACUCACUUAAAGCAUAAACAUAACACACCCUGAGCUCAGUUGCAGCUCGACCGAAUUCAUACAUAGUUUAUUACUUCCUUUUAAGGGAUUUGACUCUUCUAUGAAUACUCUAGAGAAUAGAAUGUUAACUAGGAAAUCAGAGGUGUGCACAUCAUCCCUUUUAGAGAAGCCAAAUUCCAAGAGAAAGUAUUACGUUAGGAAUUACAUGGGGUUGACCAACCUCCAACACGACUUGAAUUGAAACACUCAAAAAACAUAUUUAUUAAGUUCAGGGUACAAACAAAUUGCAGGACUAUACUCUUUCAAUAAUAUCUCCAAUAACUUCUUCCUUUUUUAUCAGAAAAUCAUUUUGGACGCCCAAAAUACAUGCUGGAGCCACACUAAGCUAAACUUGCAAGUUUAAUAAAUUAAAUUAAAUUCUAUUUCAAACUUGUUGUUCAUAUCAUCUAAUAGAGUAGCAGUACGCCAGAUAGUAGUAGUAUAAUUGCCUGUAGUGCUAUAACCUGCGUAUAGUUCAGAUUCCAUCACACAUGUUUUGUAUCAUUAAACAAUACACAUUCACCCAAGUUUAGAAAAAUGUUUUAGCCACUAAGUAUGGAACCGGAUAAUCAUUUUACUUCUCCCAACAUGCUCGUGCUGUCCUAUGGGUGAAGGGAAUUAUAAAGAUAGGUGCUAGUAAUUGUAAAGAGGUCGUGCAAGAAAGAACAUAUACGGGAAAGAAAAACUACUCUUCGAUAGUAAUUACUGAGUAAAAAAACACUAGAUUUUAUUUGUUCCUGAGAAAUCAGAAUGCAGAGGUAUACAUCACACAGGAACGACUGAGAAAAUUGAUCAUAAGAUCCGAAAAAAUUAACUAAAUUAAAAGCAUGCUCUACAAGAGACCAUAAAUCAAAAUCCCAACAAUAUAAACAAGUGUGGAAGCGACACUAAGAUGCUGCGUAUGAAUCUAAUCCAUUUUGCACUAAGUGAAAUGAUAACUUCUGCGAUCAUUAUCAAACAAGACCAGUAAAAUGAAGACUAAGGACAGUCUACAGCGGUUAAGUUUUUUGUAGGAGGUAAAUUAGGGUUCACAAAUGACGGACCUUGACCUUCAGUGAGCCUUUCUCCUUUGCGUCUGUUUCUGGGUGGCUAAUUUAUAAAUCCAAUACACCUAGAAUAAAUCGAAUGAACAAAGAGUGAUUAGGGAUAGGAAUGGUGGCAUUUAUUUGAAAAUAAGAGUGAAGAAUGGAGAGAAAAAUGACCAUAGCGAGGACAUGCACUGCUAUCAGAAGAACCAGUAAUACAGGUAGUGCGUCCUUGAUCCAUGGUUGCGUGGGUUUGUGAUGUUCGUACGCCAUUCCACUCUGAAAUUUCAAAACGCGAGGAAGCAAUACAGUGAAGGUUUUGUUUCACUUCAAACCUGCGUUACAACCAAUACUAUUUUCCCAACUACAGAGAUGAACAG
rnacentral:lncRNA from 1 species